ACGGGAGGCAGCAGUGGGGGAUGUUGCACAAUGGGGGAAACCCUGAUGCAGCGACGCCGCGUGAGUGAUGAAGUAUUUCGGUAUGUAAAGCUCUAUCAGCAGGGAAGAAAAUGACGGUACCUGACUAGGAAGCUCCGGCUAAAUACGUGCCAGCAGCCGCGGUAAUACGUAUGGAGCAAGCGUUAUCCGGAUUUACUGGGUGUAAAGGGAGCGUAGACGGCGUGGCAAGUCUGAUGUGAAAGCUAUGGGCUCAACCCAUAAACUGCAUUGGAAACUGUCAUGCUAGAGUGUCGGAGAGGUAAGCGGAAUUCCUAGUGUAGCGGUGAAAUGCGUAGAUAUUAGGAGGAACACCAGUGGCGAAGGCGGCUUACUGGACGAUAACUGACGUUGAGGCUCGAAAGCGUGGGGAGCAAACAGGAUUAGAUACCCUGGUA
rnacentral:rRNA from 1 species